CAAAGGGCUAUAAAAUCUAUCUUCCAGAAACUGGAAAAGUUGUGAUAUCCCGUGAUGUAAAAUUUGAUGAAAGUUCUAAGUGGAAUUUUAAUGAAACCAAUACACAGCAACAGGUAGCAGUUUUUCCUCCUAUCCCAGUGGAAACUUCAACUCCAACACCAGAAGUUCAGUCUUCCGAGAUAGAAUCUAUCGCACCUACUGCAGAAAAUUCUGAAUCUUCAAGAUCUAGUUCGGCUCCUAGAGGAACCAGAUCUUUGAAUGAGAUUUAUCAGAGGUGUAAUAUGGCAGUGGUUGAACCCAGCAAUUAUGAAGAGGCACAACAACAUUCUGAAUGGGUUGAUGCAAUGGAAACUGAAAUGGAGAUAAUUCAUAAAAAUCAGACUUGGGAAUUGGUACCUCAUCCUGAUGAAAGAAAAGUGAUUGGAGUGAAGUGGAUUUACAAGGCAAAAAUGAAUCCAAAUGGCACGGUGAACAAAUACAAAGCAAGGUUAGUUGCUAGAGGAUUUGCACAAGAAAGUGGUGUUGAUUAUUUUGAGACCUUUGCACCGGUUGCAAGGUUUGACACCAUUAGAUUAUUGAUUGCACUAGCAGCACAAAAGAAGUGGAAGAUACAUCAGUUGGAUAUAAAAUCCGCAUUUCUCAAUGGUGAACUGGAGGAGGAUGUUUUUGUUGAACAACCUGAAGGUUUCCAGUCUAGAAUCUAUCCUGAUCAUGUAUGCAAGCUGAAAAAGGCCUUGUAUGGUUUGAAACAGGCGCCAAGAGCUUGGUACAACAAAAUAGAUGGUUAUCUAUGCGCUAAAGGAUUCAGGAGGAGUGAAAAUGAACAUACUCUUUAUGUGAAGAGUGAUGAAAAUUCUGAUAUCCUGAUUCUAUCCAUGUAUGUGGAUGAUUUACUCAUCACAGGAAACAGUAAAAAGCAAAUUGAUUUGUUUGCUGAUAAAUUGAAGGAAGAAUUUGAGAUGACAAAUCUUGGAAAGAUGAAAUAUUUUUUGGGCAUUGAGGUUGAGCAAACAGAAAAUGGUAUUUUCAUUUCACAAAAGAAAUAUGCAAGUGAUAUCUUGAAGAGGUUGAAGAUGCAGCAGUGUAAACCAGUGGAUACACCAGUUGCGUUGAACACAAAAUUAUCCAAAGAAGAUGGAGACCAGCCAAUCAAUGAGAAGGAAUAUAGGAGUCUUGUUGGAAGUUUACUGUACUUGACAGCAACAAGACCAGAUUUGAUGUUUGCGAGAAGCUUACUUUCUAGAUUCAUGAGCAAGCCAUCACAAACACAUUUUGGAGUUGCCAAAAGGGUCCUUAGGUAUAUCAAAGGAACAAUAAAUCAUGGCAUCUAUUUUGCUGGAGUAGUUGGCUCAAAUUUGAUUGGAUAUUCAGAUAGUGAUUGGGCAGGUUCUGUGGAUGAUAUGAAGAGCAUGAGUGGUUAUCUAUUUACACUUGGUUCGGGAGUAUUCUGUUGGAAUUCAAAGAAACAAGAAGUAGUGGCACAAUCCAUAGCAGAAGCUGAAUAUAUUGCAGCAUCAUCAGCUGUAAAUCAUGCCGUUUGGUUGAGGAAAAUUCUUAAUGAUCUUGCGAAAAGUCAAGAUGAUCCUACAACUAUCAUGGUGGAUAAUCAAUCAGCCAUUGCUGUUGCAAAGAAUGCAGUUGAUCAUGGAAGAACCAAGCAUAUUAAAGUGAAGUUCCAUGCUAUCAGACAAGCUGAGAAAGAAGGAGAAGUUCAUCUCCAAUAUUGUCCAGGUGAAUCUCAAAUUGCAGAUAUGUUCACUAAAGCAUUGCCCAAAUCCAGGUUUGAAGACUUAAGAGUGAAGAUUGGAGUUUUACCCAAAAGCUUCAAGGAGGAGAAUGUUGAUUAUUGAAGACUUUUGAUUUUCUCCACAUGAUGAAAUAUGAAGAGUGUUGGAGAGGAAGAUGAAGAGAUGGAUGCAUUCACCAUCAUUAUUAGUCAUUAUUAGUCUUCAUAAUUGUGUGACUCUUAGUAGUCUUAUGCUAUCCUAUAAAUAGGUUUGUCAUGUACUCAAAUCAAAUAAUUCAUAUAUAAAAAAAAGUUUCUCUCAAAAUAUACUUUGUUCUGUUCUUAUUAUUGAACUGAUCCGGUCUUAAUAGAAUCUAUCCUUAUUUCCGCUGCAUACUAAAAUCACAAUCAGAACAAACAAGAGGGCUAUUAACCUGAAUGUUGGAUCUACUGGUUCCUUAGCCUUUUAUGCUAGAAAUGAAGUGAAGAGAACAGGUAUGGGCCAGCCACCUCACGGCAGGAAUCAAAAGAAGGAGAGACCAACUUGUACAUAUUGUGGAUAUGAAGGACAUGUGAUUGAUAGAUGUUAUAAACUCCAUGGAUAUCCACCUGGAUACAAGCUAAAAUAGAAACCUGGUUCACGCAAUUACACAGGUUUUAAUCCCCACUCAAAUAAUAAUGUUGCUAAUCAAAUCUCUUGUUCUGUUUCAAACCAAUCUCAGGGCAAUACUGGGAAUUUUAUGCAAACCUUGAACCAUGAUCAGUGCCAACAGUUGAUGAGUAUGUUGAGCACACACCUCACAACUUCUAAGAUGGAUGAUGAAGUAGCUAAUGUUGAUGAUGUGUCAGGUACAGUUUUAUCUGUUUCCAUUAAUCAAGUCCUUAAUUCUCCUAGGCAUUGGGUGUUAGAUUCAGGGGCAACUAGUCAUGAAUGCUUCAACCGUGCAUGCUUUCACACAUUAAAGGCUGUGCAAGAUGCAUAUAUUACAUUGCCUAACCAUGCCAGGAUUCGUGUGAAUUUUGUUGGACAUAUUAAACUUACUCCUGACUUGGUGCUGGAAGAUGUGUUAUAUGUGCCCCAGUUCAAGUUCAAUUUGCUGUCCAGUAGUGCACUGACCAAAAGGUCUUCUAUAAGCAUCAAGUUUCUUACUGAUGGCUGUGAUAUUCAGGAUCUAUGCAGCUUGAGGAUGAUUGGCAAGGGUAGACGGAUUGGUGGACUUUACAUCCUAGAUAGCACAAUGAAAUAUGGAUGUAAUAGUGUCAAACAUAUCUGUAAUUCUGAUUCUGUUGUAAUGAAUAAUGUGGAUUCAUAUACUUGGCAUAAUAGACUUGGUCACUUGUCUUUUAAAAGGCCAGCUGGUUUGAAGGACCAAUUACAUUUUAAAUGUAAUAAGGGUAAUGAAGAUGUCCCUUGUUCUAUCUGUCCUCUUGCUAAAUAAAGGCAUUUAUCGUUUGUUUCAAACAAUCACUUAUCUUCCAAUGCAUUUGAUCUUGUUCAUGCUGACACUUGGGGUCCAUAUAGUUCACCAACGCGUGAAGGUCACAGAUACUUUCUCACUUUAGUUGAUGAUUGUAUAAGGUUCGCUUGGGUCUAUCUCAUUAAGCAAAAAUCAGAUGUUCUUGCAAUCAUUCCUAAGUUUUUUUGUCUGGUUGAGACACAAUUUAUUAAGGUCAUUAAAGCCUUCAGGUCUGACAAUGCCCCCGAGUUGCAAUUCACAGAUUUUUUUUAGCUCUAAAGGUGUUCUACAUCAAUUCUCUUGCAUGGAACGACCUGAGCAAAAUUCUGUUGUUGAAAGGAAGCACCAACAUUUACUUAAUGUUGCUCGAGCCCUAUUCUUCCAAUCCCAAGUCCCUAUUCAAUUUUGGGGAGAUUGUGUUCUCACAGCGACCUACCUCAUUAACCGUACUCCAUCUCCUGUUCUACAAAACCAGUCACCAUUUUCAUUACUUUACAAAACUCCAGUAGAUUAUGCUUUUCUCAAGGUCUUUGGUUGUUUGUGUUUUGCAUCAACCCUCACUUCUCAUCACCUAAAAUUCCAUCCUAGAGCCAAGGCAUGUGUUUUCAUUGGAUACCACCCUGGCAUAAAAGGAUACAAGUUAUAUAACAUUGUAUCAAAAUCCAUUUUGAUAUCCAGAGAUGUAGUAUUUCAUGAAAGCAUUUUUCCCUUUCAUUCUAUCUCAAAAACUCAUGAAAUCAUUGAUAAUUUUCCUAACCUUGUGUUAACUAAGCCCGCAAUUGAUAUACCUAUGCAUCAUGCUGUCAACAUUCCUAAUCAUGAUUCGGUUGAUAAUGAUGUUCCUACCAUGUCUUCUCUUGAUUCACCUUCAACAUCAAAACCCAUCACAGCACCACAUGCCACUCCAGUCCAUCCCAAUCCCAAUCUCAGAAGGUCCCUUAGGCAUAGCAAACCUCCAUUAUAUCUCCAGGAAUUUCACUGUAGUCUUUUGGCUAAUUCUCCCAUUCCUCAGGCCUCAUCCCAGUAUCCUUUGAGUGACUGCUUUGGCUACACAAAAUUUUCUAAAUCUCAUAAUAAAUUUCUCUUUAAUAUCUCCUCAAACUUCCAGCCUCAAUUUUACCACCAAGCUGUGAGACAUGAUCAUUGGCAGGAAGCUAUGGCCUCUGAGCUAGCUGCUAUGGAGCUGAAUAACACCUGGUCUGUCACUACUUUGCCCAAAGGAAAGCAUGCCAUUGGCUGCAAAUGGGUGUAUAAAAUAAAGUAUAAGUCAGAUGGGAGUAUCGAUCGAUACAAAGCGCGCUUAGUGGCCAAAGGGUACACUCAACAGGAGGGGUUGGACUUCAUUGAAACCUUCUCCCCAGUGGCUAAGUUGGUGACUGUAAAAUUACACCUAGCCAUAGCAGCAAUUAACAGUUGGCAUAUCAUCCAAUUGGAUGUCAAUAACGCCUUCCUUCAUGGUGAUUUAUUCGAGGAAAUUUAUAUGGACUUGCCAAUGGGAUAUAAACCCCCCUCCACAUCAGGCAAGCAGGGGAAGCAUCAGGUUUGCAAGUUACACAAGUCUAUAUAUGGCCUAAAACAGGCCUCGAGACAAUGGUUUGCAAAAUUUUCCCUUGCUCUUAUCUUACAUGGAUUUCACCAGUCUAAAUCAGAUUAUUCCUUAUUUACAAAAGGUUCUGGUAAUGAAUUUGUUGCUUUACUUGUGUAUGUUGAUGACAUAGUCAUCACCGGGUCCAAUCUCCAAGUUAUAGAAUCUCUGAAAUCAUUUCUUCACAGUCAUUUUAAGGACCUUGGUAACCUUAAAUACUUCCUUGGCUUGGAAAUUGCGAGAUCACAUAAAGGCAUUGUUUUAUCACAGAGACAAUAUGCUCUCCAGUUGCUUGAAGACACAAGGUUUCUAGCUUGUAAGCCUGCAGCCAUGCCUAUGGAUCCCAAAGUUCGAUUGAGCUCCUUUGAGGGGGAGUUGUUGGAAGAUAGUUCUAUGUAUAGGAGGCUUGUUGGACGAUUACUUUAUCUAACAGUCUCCAGACCAGGCAUUACUUUUGCGGUUCAUAAGCUCAGUCAGUUUGUGUCGCAACCACGGAAACCUCAUUUAACAGCCAUCCGUCAUCUACUUCAACAUCAAGGCAACCUUAGGCCAGGGUCUCUUAUUUUCUGCUGAAUCAUCCUUACAAUUACGGGCUUAUGCUGACGCCGGUUGGGGCUCAUGUCCAGAUUCCAGAAAAUCUAUUACUGGGUUUUGUGUGUUUCUUGGAGAUUCUAUGGUGUCAUGGAAGGCUAAAAAGCAAAGCACGAUAUCAAGAUCAUCAGCUGAAGCUGAAUAUCGUGCCUUAUCUUCUAUUGUCAGUGAGCUUGUAUGGAUACAACAGUUGCUUCUUGAUUUCCAGAUUACAUCUACAGGUCCAACUUUGAUUUUUUGUGACAGCCAAGCUGCGGUCCACAUUGCCACCAAUCCUAUCUUCCAUAAGAGAACGAAGCAUAUAGAGAUAUAUUGCCACUUUGUAAGGGAUAAAAUCACUGAUUGUUUCAUCAAGCUGCUACCAGUUCGAAGCAACCACCAACUUGCUGAUAUACUUACCAAACCUUGACUAGCAGCUUCAUUGUCUCACCUACUAUCCAAGAUGGCUGUUGUCAAUUUACACAGUCCAUCUUGAGGGGGAAUAUCAGAAUAAUUGAAGUCAGUUUGGCGCCAAAUGUUUCUGAUUAGUUUGCUUAGCUGUCAAUUAGCUGGAUGUUAUAAACUAUCUUUCCCACCAUUUUUCUUCUUCCUAUUUAACGUGAUUGUACAGAACAUUU
rnacentral:lncRNA from 1 species